rnacentral:rRNA from 1 species
AGUGAACGCUGGCGGUAGGCCUAACACAUGCAAGUCGAACGGCAGCACAGUAAGAGCUUGCUCUUACGGGUGGCGAGUGGCGGACGGGUGAGGAAUACAUCGGAAUCUACUUUUUCGUGGGGGAUAACGUAGGGAAACUUACGCUAAUACCGCAUACGACCUACGGGUGAAAGCAGGGGAUCUUCGGACCUUGCGCGAUUGAAUGAGCCGAUGUCGGAUUAGCUAGUUGGGGGGGUAAAGGCCCACCAAGGCGACGAUCCGUAGCUGGUCUGAGAGGAUGAUCAGCCACACUGGAACUUAGACACGGUCCAGAAUCAUAAGGGAGGCAGCAGUGGGGAAUAUUGGACAAUGGGCGCAAGCCUGAUCCAGCCAUACCGCGUGAGUGAAGAAGGCCUUCGGGUUGUAAAGCACUUUUGUUGGGAAAGAAAAGCAGCAGGUUAAUACCCCGCUGUUCUGACGGUACCCAAAGAAUAAGCACCGGCUAACUUCGUG